rnacentral:lncRNA from 1 species
CCAAAAUCAGCGGGAAUGUAAAGAUCCCGGUAGCGGCAAAGCUCCGGGGUUUUAUCGGUGAUUUUAUCGAUUAUUGAUUGAUUUUAUUUUUAUUUAUCCCGAGCCUUUUCAGCCUCCCCAAAAAAGGGCUGGAAAUUCCCUCUCCAUGAAAUUCCCUCUCCAUGAAAAUCCUUCUUCAUGAAAUUCCCUCUCCCUGAAAUUCCCUCAUCUCCCCAGUUAAUUUAAUUAAACUGGGAUCAGGGAAUUGUCCCUUCCCGCAGCCCGGCUCGUAUCCAGGGAUUUGAACUCUGCUGCUGCCAGAUCCACGCCGGCCCUGCUGCUCCAGUCGGGAAUUCUGCCAGGAACGCUGCCGGGAAUUCUGCCAGGAGCGCUUUCCCCUCGGGAAUUCUGCCGCUCCCUCGGGAUGCGCCGCCGCUUCUCCUUCUCCUCGCCGCUCCGGUGCGGCCGCGGGCGAUCCCAAAUCCCGGAUUUGGGGCCGCGGAGCCGCUCCCAGGAAUUCCAGCCGGGAAGAACCGGGAGUUCCAAUUCCUGCAGGAAUUCCAGCCGGGAAGAGCCGAGGAUGGCCCGGACCUGCCGCGAUUCCCACUUUUAUUCCUACGGCAUCAAAUUCGCGCUCUCUGCCUACGCCAUGCUCUUCUCAGUAUGUUUUUCCCUGAUUUUUCCCUGUUUUUUCCCUAUUUUCCCCUAUUUUUUCCCCUAUUUUCCGCCAUUUUCUGGAAAAUUGGAUCCGGGGUCAUCUCCAUGUCUGAGGGAUCCCUGGGAGGGAAUUCCAUGGAUUCCAAGUCCAAACCAUGUCUGGGAGGUCUUAAGGAGGGAAUUCCAUGGAUCCAGGGUCACCUCCAUGGUUUGGGAGUUCCAUGGAUCUGGAGUAAUCUCCAUGGUUUGGAAAUUCCAUGGAGGGAAUUCCACGGUAUUUUCCCUCCCGAGGUCCAUCCCGGGAUGCGAAUUCCCAAGGGAAAGAGAAUUCCCAAGGAAAGGAGAAUUCCCAAGGAAAGGAGAAUUCUCAGGAGCAGAGCCUCCCCCUUCCAGGGCAGCUGUUUUUUUGGGAAUGGGGCAAUGAAAAGCCGGGAAUUGUGAGGACAGGAAGAGGAGGCAGCAAUCAGAGCCCUUGGGGGGUUGGGAAUUGGCCCUUCCAGGAGAAUUCCCGGGAACAAAAGUGAGGAGGGAAAGAGGCCCUGGAGGAGCUCCUGGAGCUGAGCUGGGCCUGGCAGCUGCAGCUUUUGGGAUUUUCAUGGAAAAACAGGGAAAUUGUGUUUGAAGGUAUCUGGGAUUGUGGUUUAAAGAGUUUGGGAUUGUCUUUAAAAGGAUCUGGGAUUUGUGUUUUAAAGAAUUUGGGAUUUGUGUUUUAAAGGAUCCGGGUUUGGAUUUAAAGGGAUUGGUAUUUGGAUUUAAAAGGAUCUGGGAUCUGUGUUUUAAAGGAUCUGGGAUCCUGAUCUUUAAAAGGAUCAGGAUUUGGAUUUAAAAGGAUCCAGGUCCGUGUUUAAAAGUAUCUGAAUUUGUGUCAAAAAAAAUCUGGGAUGGUGUUUAAACCUGGAUUUGCAUUCCAAAGGGUCUGGGAUUGGUGUUUAAACCUGGACUUGUGUUUUAAAGGAUCUGGAAUUUGUGUUUUACCCUGGAUUUUUGUCCAAAGGAUCUGGGAUUGUGUUUAACCCUGGGUUUGCAUUCCAAAGGAUCUGGAAUUGGUGCAGCCCGGGAUUUGUGUUCUAAAGGAUCUGGGAUUGGUGUUUAAACCUGGAUUUAUGUUCUAAAGGAUCUGGGAUUGGUGUUUAAACCUGGAUUUUUGUUGAAAGGAUCUGGGAUAGGUGUUUAAACCUGGAUUUGUGUUCUAAAGGAUCUGGGAUUGGUGUUUAAACCUGGAUUUGUGUUCCAAAGGAUCUGGGAUUGGUGUUUAACCCUGGAUUUUUGUUGAAAUGAUCUGGGAUUGGUGUUCAGUAGGAGCUGGGCUGGUUUCUCCCCUGGUUUCUUCCCGGAGCAGUGGAAUUCCCGCUGGAAUUGCGAUGAUUUGUGCCCGCUCAGAUGGAGCUGACAGCUCCAUCCAUCUCCCGCCUCCGCUCCCGUUUAUCCGCAGGAACGGCCGCU